rnacentral:sRNA from 1 species
UCAAAAUGAGUAUUGGGGUGUAUUAGGUUUGUGUUGAAAAUGGAUGUGUGUAACGUCCAGAAGGAAGCGUUUGAGUCGCGGUGCUGAGCCACUAUUUGUAAUAAAAUUAUGUUUUAUAACUCGCACAGCUAAUGGUUUAGCAAAAUGGUUUCUGAAAAUUGUACAAAUUGAUAAUUAUCAGAUUAUAAUAUUUGCCACCAUGCUGUGCCUAACACAACUGGAGUUAGUCAGCUAGUAAAGUCUAAUAUCAUACGGCCGUAAAUAUAUAUGUAUCUCAGAACCCAUAUCAAGAGCCAUGUUACGGAGGUUUCCAAUCAUUGUAUUAACCUGUCCCAUAUUUUCUUCCAUUUC